CAGUUGUAUUGUCAGGCUAGCAGCGCCCGCCAACCGGCACUGAGGUAAGGAGUUCCACAACCACAGCACUCAGAUGCAAAUAAUGGGCAUGCCUCUGUCUAAGCUGCUAAGUAGAGAAGCACACUGCAAAUAAGAGCUGAGUGAGCUAGGACCUGCCAAUCUCUGUUUUCUCUUGUUCUUGGAUUGCAAUUUUUGAUUUUAGAUUGGAUAUUUGAGAGAAUGCAUAGGAAAGGGAAAGGAAAAGGGAAAGGGAUGCCUUUACAUUAUACUUAUCUUUCCUUACGUUACCCAUCUCAGAUGUGGUCAUAGUAAUAUACUUUUUCCUUUGUGCCACUUAUCUUUCCUUUCUAUGCUCCACUGAUAUAUCAGCUGGUCCAUGUGCCAUUUGGUGAUUGCUGCUUACAUAGUUGUUUUUAUUUAUCUCCGUACGCUAUGUGAUGUUAUAUUCCCUUCUCGAUAUAUGUUCAGCCAUUCAAUCAGUUUUGAUUAGUUAAUGUUCAUGCAUCAGAUUUGUUAAUACAAAAUGUUCUCUGAUCUGGUAUUCAGCUUGGCUACCAGUACAUGUUACAAGUUCAAUCCUCCACAAGCAAUUGAGAAAGGUUGCAGGUGAGAGGCAAGCAGAAGCAUGACAGGAAUAUUGAUUUACUUACAUGAUAACCGUUGUGCCAUUAGUUUCAUCUGCAUGUAACCUAAAUAAUUUCACGGUGCUCAACUGGAUCACUGCGGGUGUAGUUUCAUUGCUCAUUUCCCAUCCUUGGACAAUCGGAGGUCAUUGAGAUUAAACUCUGCUUGCUUCGCAUCCUCCAUAUGUUCAGCAUGGAUGGUGACUUUGCUCCAUUGCUUGAGCUUAUCAAGUUACACAGAAUGUAUGGGCUUUUGUUGGUCAUGGACGUUCCUUGGACAGUUGGAGAUCAUUGCGAUGUUGGUGUAAUUGGGCUUACUAAGUGCUCUGGUACUCAUGGGCUUCUUCCCUGUUUUGACACCUUUUUGUUAGUAUCAAUUCAGAGAGAGACAAUUUGCGUACAUCCCUUGGAUUUCAUGAUAUGGCCACAAUCAUGUCUUCCGCAGUUUUCGCAUCAAUGAGGCUGAAUGCAACAAAUCAAAGCUACUUGCAUAUAAGAUGCAGCGUGGAGAUAAUCUGAAGUUAAAAACUUCCCAUGGCUUGAAGAUAAAGAUCAAAAUCAAGGAAGUAGCUAGCACACUGUACAUGACGACAUGAUGGAAAUAAUUUGUAGAGGCAACUGGAUUAGAAACUGGAGAAACGAUUCUUUUCUGGAUGCCAUCACAGUCUAAAGCGUGUGUUAUGAUACUGAACAGACAAGGCCUUAUUAGAUGUCCAGUGAAGACCCCAUCCAACAGCUCAUCAGCGAACAAAAGGCCCCUUGAUCCAUCAGGUCAAUUAACCAGAGCAAGCACAUUUGACCAUGCAUCUCCUAGCAAAAGCGUUCCAUUUCUGAGGAAUGGAACAGGCAGUAACAAAAGAAAACCUAGCAGACACCUCCUUCUGCCACCAGAUUAAGCUCACAGCUGAAUUGAAGAGUUACAUCAAAGAGAUUGCAGAUUUUCUAGAAGAAUCAAACAAGUUCUAUGUCGUGCGUAUGAACAGAACAUUCAUGGAACAGGACAGAGUGUACUUUGCGACCGAGUUUUCAAAGAAAUACAUUGUGAACUUGGUUCGAGGCAAGACAGCAAACAUUAGAGUGCAGAUUGCAGGUCGACCCUCAACAACUUAACAUCAGGGUGGUUAGCUUUGCAGCAGCCAACAGCAUCAACUUACACAAUCUGCAUCUUCCACUUUUUAGGACAAGUCACCUCACGCUCACCAUAGAUGCUCUGUGAAAGUUACCUGCAUCUUCAGUAGUCGCUGCUAUUAUCUACACUGGAACAACUACUAUAAUUCUCUAUUAUCCUUUGCUUGCGGUCUAUCUAACUUCACUUGCUCUGUAAGCACGUGACCUAUAACUGCUUAUCAUUGUCCUCAGCUCCUUUUGUUAUCCAUAAGCUGAGUGAACAAUUAACCACUUUAUGUACAAACAGCUGGCUUGUUAUACUACAGCUACUAUGGUACUAUUUGUUGUUUCUUUUUACCA